rnacentral:rRNA from 1 species
UUAACGGCCGCGGUAUCCUGACCGUGCAAAGGUAGCAUAAUCACUUGCCUAUUAAUUGUAGGCUAGAAUGAAAGGACAAACGAGAAUACACCUGUCUCCUUUAAGCCCCUAAAAAUUUAUCUUUAAGUGAAGAAGCUUAAAUAAACGUGCAGGACAAGAAGACCCUAUAGAGCUUUACCUAUAAGCCACAUAAACAGUGGUUAGCGGUUCGGUUGGGGCGACCAGGGGAUACUAACCACCCCUAAAUUAUAAGAUCAACUAAUCCUAUCAUAGAUCCUUUAUCAAGAUCAAAGAAUCAAGCUACCUUAGGGAUAACAGGCUAAUCCUCUUAGAGAGCCCUUAUCGACAAGAGGGGUUGGCACCUCGAUGUUGGCUU